rnacentral:lncRNA from 1 species
AUGCAGGUUACUGCUCACAUGUGUGCACGUGUUAGUGUGCAUGUACAUUGGUGUGCACGUGUGUUAAUGUGCAUGGGUGUUUGUGGAGGGGGGGCUGCUUUCAUAUGGAUGGAGUUAAUGCUCCUCGUCUGGUACUAUGCACUGAAUUGAAUUCACCAAACAACUGAGUAGUGAGGAAUAAAACUUUAUUUGAAAUAUUGCCUGCCAUUUAAAACAUUUACUUUUAAAUAUAUGUUUCUCUUUAUAUUCUUGAAAUAUUACCCACUUCUAUUCAAAUAUUAUCUGCUUCCAAAAUCUAGUAAGCCAACAUUUGGGGUUUGAAGUGGCUUUCUCCAGAGACAUUGGGAGAAAUGAAGUGAAAAAUCAAAACGUGACGACAUCGCUCCCAGGCCAGGCCCUGUUUUAGAUUCCCCACUGUGCUCCACGCCGCCCCCUAGAAUGCUCCCCACCCCACCCCUCUCUCCAUCCUCCUCUCCCAUCUUGACAUUUCAGGGUUUUGGUGGUGGCUUUGUAGUCCGUGGUCCCCCGUGCUCCUGUGUCCGGGGGUUCGUUUGUGGCUGGCCCUGCUGACAGGGCUUCUCUCCGCAGUGCAGGUUUUGAGGCACUCUUAAAACGAGUUCUCUUCCUGAACUUCAGGUUUGCUACCUGUGAACUUGGAAUUAAAUGCUUUUCUCUGUGCUAGGCUGCGUCACCAAAUGUCUGAAAUACUUAGUUAUUAAAGAGUAUUUAUGGCUGUUAAUUUACAGUUAAUUCAGGCUUUCCCUUCUCUGGAGUUAAUGCUUUCUCCCCGUACCAGCCGGUCUGUGGCACGUUCUUUCGUGUGGGUCCAGGCUCACCGUCGCUGUCUCAGAACUGCUUUCCUGUUACGCUGCCGUAACUGUGAUGUUUGUGUAUCCAUCCCUUCAUGUAUCAAACGCAGACCUUUUCUCACAGGUUUGGUCAUUUUUGGGUGUAAGACACGUUCCUUCCUUGGAAGACUUUUUGUCCAUGAGUGUGAAUGGAUCCGCACUUAACUCAGAAUAAAUGCCGAGAUGUAAAGGACACCCGCAGCCAUGGAGCACAGCGGCGGCGCAACAGCUGUGUUGUUCCUGAACGCUUUUUCUCUGGUCUUAAAUUUAGACACCGAAUCCUGCAGUGUCAGGAAAAGCUGGAGAAUGCAGCUGCGGGCCGGGGACUCGGCCGGAAAGCCCCGGCCGCCUCCUGCUUCCAGUGCCCCGCAAGGCUCGGGCGGGAGAUGACUGUCCCCGUCCAUGUUCUUUCCUGUGGAGUAGACGCUGUGCAGCCAUCGGGUGAGAAGAUAUCGGCUUGGUCCUGGGCCCUGCCUUGCGGGCGUCCGUGGGAUAGCAGGUCUUGGGGCGCUGGGCCUUGUCCGGGAAGAGGCACUGGAUGGGGCGAUGCUCUGUAGGUCCUGCAGGCGCCCUGGCAGGGAUGGGGUCCGAGGGCUCCUGUGUGCCAGGCUCCUGAGAUCUCCUGGCAAGCGUUCGAGGCCUGGCAGGUGCGGGGGCACACAAGGCUGAGGUUCUGCCGGGGUGACCCUCUGCAGGCCAGCGUCUUGUGGGAAUAAAGCCCGAGCUGGAGAACGCGGCCUGUGGGCAGGGGGUGGGGUUGGGGUGCUCCUACUUCCGUUUCCCCGGCCUACAGGCGCUGCCCUUUGACCCUGGAAGGGCUUUGGAGAGAGGGCCCUGCUGGGGCCAGGGCCGCGUUGCUAAGGAGACGAGGGCGUUUCAUGUGAACACCACGUUAACAAGCUGCUUAUUUAAAGAUGGCAUCUAACGGAGAUCUUUUGUUUCCCUCAUCACUUUACCGAAGGACCAUACCAGACUCUGCGCUCGUCUCCUUUCAUGUUUUGCUUCCGUUCUGCCUCUCCUCGCGUGUCUCUGCCAGCGCACAUGCACACACCUGCUGCUGUUCUCCUUAGCAGAUCCCACCCUAACAUUCUGUGGUUUUGCCUGGCAUUCUGCAGAAGCAUUGCUGUAUCUUACCAGACAGGAAUACAGGCAAUGCUGUGAAGCGUCAGAGGGAAUUCCGUUGGUUACUUUCCCAUACGGUCUUGUUCAGCUGCUUGUUCUCAGAAAAGUGUGUUUGUUGGUGGAGGAGAAUGCGACCAAGGAGACCAUCCUUUUCAUGAAGGCACAAACGUGAAUACAUAUGUGACUUUUAAGCCUUUAAAUAAAAACCCAAAGCACAUUUAUGCCUGUCUUUAUUUCUAAG